rnacentral:tRNA from 2 species
GGGAACUUGGUCUAGUGGUAUGAUUCUCGCUUUGGGUGCGAGAGGUCGCGGGUUCGAUUCCCGCAGUUCCCC